rnacentral:rRNA from 1 species
GAUGAACGCUGGCGGCGUGCCUAAUACAUGCAAGUCGAGCGAACAGACGAGGAGCUUGCUCCUCUGACGUUAGCGGCGGACGGGUGAGUAACACGUGGAUAACCUACCUAUAAGACUGGGAUAACUUCGGGAAACCGGAGCUAAUACCGGAUAAUAUAUUGAACCGCAUGGUUCAAUAGUGAAAGACGGUUUUGCUGUCACUUAUAGAUGGAUCCGCGCCGCAUUAGCUAGUUGGUAAGGUAACGGCUUACCAAGGCAACGAUGCGUAGCCGACCUGAGAGGGUGAUCGGCCACACUGGAACUGAGCCACGGUCAAGACUCCUACGGGAGGCAGCAGUAGGGAAUCUUCCGAAAUGGGCGAAAGUCUGACGGAGCAACGCCGCGUGAGUGAUGAAGGUCUUCGGAUCGUAAAACUCUGUUAUUAGGGAAGAACAAAUGUGUAAGUAACUAUGCACGUCUUGACGGUAACUAAUCAGAAAGCCACGGCUAACUACGUG